GGAGGUUGCAAGCGUUAUCCGGAUUUAUUGGGUUUAAAGGGUGCGUAGGCGGGAUGAUAAGUCAGUGGUGAAAACCUGCAGCUUAACUGUAGAACUGCCAUUGAUACUGUCGUUCUUGAGUAUAGUUGAGGUGGGCGGAAUGUGUAGUGUAGCGGUGAAAUGCUUAGAUAUUACACAGAACACCGAUUGCGUAGGCAGCUCGCUAAACUAAAACUGACGCUGAGGCACGAAAGCGUGGGGAUCAAACAGGAUUAGAUACCCUGGUAGUCCACGCCGUAAACGAUGAUUACUCGAUGUGUGCAAUAUAUCGUACGCGUCUAAGCGAAAGCAUUAAGUAAUCCACCUGGGGAGUACGUCGGCAACGAUG
rnacentral:rRNA from 1 species